GAUGAAGAACGUAGCGAAAUGCGAUACUUGGUGUGAAUUGCAGAAUCCCGUGAACCAUCGAGUCUUUGAACGCAAGUUGCGCCUCAAGCCAUUAGGUUGAGGGCACGUCUGCCUGGGCGUCACAUAUCGUUGCCUGAUGCCAGUUUCCUCGUGAUGGGUGACUGUGCAGGGCGAAUGAUGGCUUCCCGUGAGCAUUGUUGCCUCAUGGUUGGUUGAAAAUUGAGUCCUUGGUAGGGAGCGCCGUGAUAGAUGGUGGUUGAGUGACGAACGAGACCCAAGCAUGUGAGACCCCUACCGAAUUUGGCCUUCAUGACCCACAUGCGUCUUUGGAACGCUCAUGACGAGACCUCAGGUCAGGCGGGGCUACCCGCUGAGUUUAAGCAUAUCAAUAAGCGGAGGA
rnacentral:misc_RNA from 1 species